UACGUAGGUGGCAAGCGUUGUCCGGAAUUAUUGGGCGUAAAGCGCGCGCAGGCGGUCCUUUAAGUCUGAUGUGAAAGCCCACGGCUCAACCGUGGAGGGUCAUUGGAAACUGGGGGACUUGAAUGCAGGAGAGAAGAGUGGAAUUCCACGUGUAGCGGUGAAAUGCGUAGAGAUGUGGAGGAACACCAGUGGCGAAGGCGACUCUCUGGACGGUGACUGACGCUGAGACGCGAAAGCGUGGGGAGCAAACAGG
rnacentral:rRNA from 1 species